rnacentral:rRNA from 1 species
UAAGACGGAGGGUGCAAGCGUUACUCGGAAUUACUGGGCGUAAAGGGUCCGUAGGUGGAUUGGAUAGUUGGAUGUGAAAGCCCUCGGCUCAACCGAGGAAUUGCGUCCAAAACUUCCAGUCUGGAGGUUGGUAGGGGACAGUGGAACUCCAGGUGGAGCGGUGAAAUGCGUAGAUAUCUGGAGGAACACCGGUGGCGAAAGCGACUGUCUGGGCCAUACCUGACACUGAGGGACGAAAGCCAGGGGAGCGAACGGGAUUAGAUACCCCGGUAGUCCUGGCCGUAAACGAUGAUCACUAGCUUAGGGAGCUUUCGGGCCUCCUUUGCGUAGCUAACGCGUUAAGUGAUCCGCCUGGGGAGUAUGCGCGCAAGCGUA